rnacentral:rRNA from 1 species
GACCUGGCCGGGCGGUCCGCCUCACGGUGUGUACUGUCUGGCUGGGCCUUACCUCUUGGUGAGCCGGCAUGCCCUUUACUGGGUGUGUCGGGGAACCAGGACUUUUACCUUGAGAAAAUUAGAGUGUUCAAAGCAGGCUUUUGCUCGAAUACAUUAGCAUGGAAUAAUAGAAUAGGACGU